rnacentral:rRNA from 1 species
GACGAACGCUGGCGGCGUGCUUAACACAUGCAAGUCGAACGGAAAGGCCCUGCUUUUGUGGGGUGCUCGAGUGGCGAACGGGUGAGUAACACGUGAGUAACCUGCCCUUGACUUUGGGAUAACUUCAGGAAACUGGGGCUAAUACCGGAUAGGAGCUCCUGCUGCAUGGUGGGGGUUGGAAAGUUUCGGCGGAUGGGGAUGGACUCGCGGCUUAUCAGCUUGUUGGUGGGGUAGUGGCUUACCAAGGCUUUGACGGGUAGCCGGCCUGAGAGGGUGACCGGCCACAGUGGGACUGAGAUACGGCCCAGACUCCUACGGGAGGCAGCAGUGGGGAAUAUUGUACAAUGGGCGGAAGCCUGAUGCAGCAACGCCGCGUGCGGGAUGACGGCCUUCGGGUUGUAAACCGCUUUCGCCUGUGACGAAGCGUGAGUGACGGUAAUGGGUAAAGAAGCACCGGCUAACUACGUG